AUUCCGGUUGAUCCUGCCGGAGGCCAUUGCUAUCGGAGUCCGAUUUAGCCAUGCUAGUUGUGCGGGUUUAGACCCGCAGCGGAAAGCUCAGUAACACGUGGCCAAGCUACCCUGUGGACGGGAAUACUCUCGGGAAACUGAGGCUAAUCCCCGAUAACGCUUUGCUCCUGGAAGGGGCAAAGCCGGAAACGCUCCGGCGCCCCACAGAAUGCGGGCUGCGGCUCGAUUUAGGUAGACGGUGGGGUNACGGCCCACCAGUGCCCAUAAUCGGUACGGGUUGUGAGAGCAAGAGCCCGGAGACGGAAUCUGAGACAAGAUUCCGGGCCCUACGGGGCGCAGCAGGCGCGAAACCUUUACACUGUACGACAGUGCGAUAAGGGGAUCUCCGAGUGUGAAGGCAUAGAGCCUUCACUUUUGUACACCGUAAGGUGGUGCACGAAUAAGGACUGGGCAAGACCGGUGCCAGCCGCCGCGGUAAUACCGGCAGUCCGAGUGAUGGCCGAUCUUAUUGGGCCUAAAGCGUCCGUAGCUGGCUGAACAAGUCCAUUGGGAAAUCUAUCCGCUUAACGGGCAGGCGUCCAGCGGAAACUGUUCAGCUUGGGACCGGAAGACGUGAGGGGUACGUCUGGGGUAGGAGUGAAAUCCUGUAAUCCUGGACGGACCGCCGGUGGCGAAAGCGCCUCAGGAGAACGGAUCCGACAGUGAGGGACGAAAGCUAGGGUCUCGAACCGGAUUAGAUACCCGGGUAGUCCUAGCUGUAAACGAUGUCCGCUAGGUGUGGCUGCAGGUCUACGAGCCUGCGCUGUGCCGUAGGGAAGCCGAGAAGCGGACCGCCUGGGAAGUACGUCUGCAAG
rnacentral:rRNA from 1 species